GGUUAGAGCGUAGAGGCGGCAGGGUAGCCUAGUGGUUAGAGCGUAGAGGCGGCAGGGUAGCCUAGUGGUUAGAGCGUAGGGGCGGCAGGGUAGCCUAGUGGUUAGAGCGUAGAGGCGGCAGGGUAGCCUAGUGGUUAGAGCGUAGAGGCGGCAGGGUAGCCUAGUGGUUAGAGCGUAGGGGCGGCAGGUUAGCCUAGUGGUUAGAGCGUAGAGGCGGCAGGGUAGCCUAGUGGUUAGAGCGUAGGGGCGGCAGGGUAGCCUAGUGGUUAGAGCGUAGAGGCGGCAGGGUAGCCUAGUGGUUAGAGCGUAGAGGCGGCAGGGUAGCCUAGUGGUUAGAGCGUAGAGGCGGCAGGG
ensembl:lncRNA